GGGAAGUACAGACACGAAGAGGGGGAGGUGCCAAGCAUCCAGAGGUGGCAGAACGGAAAGAUGGAUGGUGUGCCGUAGUGCCUGGGUCCUUCCUGGUUUCUGCUGGAAGAGGUCAGGGAACUCAAAGAAGAUAGUCUUCAGAUCACCCACUUGGACUUAAGCCACUUGAAGUUGAAGAUUUGUGCACAUCCGUCGUCUUGACUGGAACCUGUUGCGACCCCGACUUCACAGAAGAAGUUUCCCACGUCUCUGCGCACCUGCCACGGGCCCCCUGGGACCAGCUGACGAGCUGAACGAGCAUCACCUAACGAAAUUAAGGACUGGCCUCCCUUACAAUCACCGUUAAGUAUUGAAAUGCAUAUUUGACACUGACAUCAAAGUAUAGCGUAUAGUAAAGUUUGAAAUACCUGUUUAGGUGAUUUUACUGCUAUUUGUUGUUGUUUUGUUUGUUUUGCGUAUGUUGGUCGGGAAUAGCAAAUUCCCUGACUUUGUAGUUUACGCUGUUAAACUUUAAUUUUUAUGAGACUGAUACAACAAAUUAACUAAGUAACAUAGAGUAGCGUGUCACUAACCAAUAACACAAACUAACCUUCGUUAAAUGGUAGUACUGCCAACCUCUUAUGUUUAGCCAUCGAAAAAUCAUAAUUUCCUUGUAUAAUCUUACAUUAUGCAAAUUAUUGCUUUCAAUUAGCAUGUUACCAUCACAUUAUCAUAAUCAAUAAAUGUAUAUAUUCUUUAAAUCAUUGUCAUGUCCCUGUUAUUUCAAUAAGUUGGGCUUUACUGACGUCUCAAAUUCUGAUUGGCUGUUGAAACUCCAUUCAUCUGAGUAAACCUCACUACACCAUUUUGCAAGCAAUUUGCUCAUAGAGGUGGGUAAGAGAAGCAGGACCUUCUACCCUGGAUGGUAUUCUCGGUAGUGGGCAUGUUGGUCAUACCACCUCUUUUGAGCUUGCUGGGUUUCCUACAGGUUCUUUCUGGCUUCCUCCUAGUACCUCUGUAGGCGAUCUCGCAGCACGUACUGCACAAUCCCCGUCUCUGAUGAGCUUGUAGAAGGACUUUCCCAGCUCUUCUUUAGGAGGUCCAAGGGGCCCUGGAGGGACCACCCAUACACAAGCUCAAAUGGCGAGAAUCCUGUGGAGAUUUGAGGUACUUCUGGGUAGCCGAAUAGCAAACACAGCAGCCACUUGUCCCAGUCUUUCCCGGUGUCAUCCACAAACUUCUUCAGCAUAUUCUUGAGGGUCGGAUUAAACCUUUCUACUAGCCCGUCAGUUUGUGGGUGAUAGGGACCGGUCCGGAUGGCAGCGAUGCCUAGCUGCGUAUGGAGCUGCUUCUUGAGGCGGGACGUGAAGUUUGUACCCUGGUCUGUCAGGAUUUCUGCAGGAAAGCCAACCCUGGAAAACAGCUGAACCAGUCCACUGAUGAUCUUGGGGGUGGUUAUGGAGCGUAGUUGGAAAGCCUCGGGAUACCAGGUGGCAUAGUCACAAAUGAACAAAAUAUAGCUGUACCCAGCACUGCUUUUCUCCAAGGGCCCGACGAUGUCCACGCCAAUGCGCUGGAAUGAUGUGGAAAUCACAGGCAAUGGACACAGAGGAGCUCUGUCUUACCUGCGGGCAGAACUUGUUUUUUGACAUGUGGGGCAUGAUGUGCACUAUGUCUGGACAUCAGUGUACAUGGAGGGACAAAGAAGUGAGAACUUAACCCCAGGUAAGUUUUUUGGCGGGUUAAGGGACCAAACUAUGGAAUGGUGUGUGCGAGGUAUAAUACCAGUGGUCUACAACAAGAGGGCACAAUCAGCCUUUUCUUAUCCCCCCCUUUAAGAUACAAGAUGCAUUUUCAACACACAGCUUCUCCCCACAAUGAUUAGCAAUGUUGGUCCCUCCUGAGCGCUCUGGCACAUGUUUUCAUCAAGGAUCUCUGUACUUUUCUCGGUUCAUCUUUCCUUCAAUCCUGAAUAGUCUUCCAGUUCUGAAAAACAUCUCCACAGCAUGAUGCUGCCACCACCAUGCUUCACCAUAGGGAUGGUAUUGGCCAUGUGAUGAGUGGUGCCUGGUUUCCUCCAGACAUGACGCUUGGCAUUGCGGCCAAAGUGUUCUAUCUUGGUUUCAUCGGACCAGAUAAUCUUGUUUCUCAUGGUCUGAGAGUCCUUUAGGUGCUUUUUAGUAAACCCCAAGCAGGCUGUCACAUGCCUUUCACUGAGGAGUAGCUUCCGUCUGGCCACUCUACCAAAAAAGUCUGAUUGGCGGAGUGCUACAGAGAUGGAUGUCCUUCUGGAAUGUUCUCCCAACCCCACAGAGAAACUCUGGAGCUCUGUCAGAGUGGCCAUCAGGUUCUUGGUCACCUCCCUGACCAAGGCCCUUAUCCCCCGAUUGCUCAGUUUGGCCGAGCGGCCAGCUCUAGGAAGAGUCCUGGUAGUUCCAAACUUCUUGCAUUUAAGGAUUAUGGAGGCCACUGUAUUCUUUGGGACCUUCAAUGCUGCAGAAAUGUUUUUGUACCCUUCCCCAGAACUGUACCUCAACACAAUCCUGUCUCGGAGGUCUACGGACAAUUCCUUCGGCUUCAUUGCUUGAUUUUUGCUCUGACAUGCACUGUCAACUGUGGGAC